rnacentral:tRNA from 1 species
CGGGGCGUGGCUCAGUUGGCAGAGCACUCCGAUGGACAUCGGAGGGGUCGUAAAUUCAAUCCAAUCGCCCCUA